AUGAUAAUCCCUCUCUAAAAAUCAGUCCUAUAAAGCUUAAUGGAACUAAUUAUCUUGCUUGGCCAAGAUCCUGUCUUCUAUUCAUUCAAUCUAAAGGAUUGCAGGGAUAUAUUAUUGAAGAUAAGUCGAAACCAGAAACCAGCAGUUCUACCUACAUUCAGUGGGAAUCAAAAAACUCUCAAGUAGUUUAAGCCCUCAUGUUUACUAUGAACCUUCCCACACGUUACUGGAGAGAUGUUGUUCUGCCUCCAGCCUAUCUGAUUAAUAGAAUGCCUCUUAGAACCCUAUAUUUUUAAAGUUUAUUGGAAGUUUUGUAGGAAAAAAACUCUUACACUAAUCCACCUAAAGUGUUUGGUUGUGAUGCUUUGUUCAUAAGACUAAUGUUGGGAAAUUAG
rnacentral:misc_RNA from 1 species